GUCGACCAAACGUGGGCCAAUGGAAAACCGGAAGCGUCCUGUGAGUGAUGUAAUGACAGCCCAAUGGAAGCUGGGGGCGGGCCUCAGACACACUAUGCGGGUUGCGGGGCCUGGGGGCCGGACGGCUGUUUCCUGUCCUGGUGCAUGGUGGUCGGACGAAGGAAUUGUUGGAAAAUUUUCUCGGAGGUUCAAGAUGUUGUUAGCCCAAAUAAAUCGAGAUUCUCAGGGAAUGACAGAGUUUCCUGGAGGAGGGAUGGAGGCGCAACAUGUUACCCUGUGCUUGACAGAGGCAGUCACCGUGGCAGAUGGUGACAACUUAGAAAAUAUGGAAGGCGUAAGCUUGCAAGCAGUAACACUUGCAGAUGGUUCUACUGCUUACAUACAACACAAUUCUAAAGAUGCAAAACUCAUAGAUGGCCAGGUCAUUCAGUUGGAAGAUGGUUCUGCGGCCUAUGUUCAACAUGUACCCAUACCUAAAAGUACAGGGGACAGUUUGCGUCUAGAGGAUGGUCAAGCAGUACAGUUAGAAGAUGGUACCACAGCAUUUAUUCACCACACCUCCAAAGAUAGUUAUGACCAGAGUGCAUUACAGGCGGUUCAGCUGGAAGAUGGUACCACAGCUUAUAUCCACCAUGCAGUGCAAGUCCCGCAGUCUGACACCAUCUUGGCAAUUCAGGCUGAUGGGACAGUGGCAGGUCUGCACACUGGGGAUGCUACAAUUGACCCUGACACCAUCAGUGCUUUGGAACAGUAUGCAGCAAAGGUGUCCAUUGAUGGAAGUGAAAGUGUAGCAGGUACUGGAAUGAUUGGAGAAAAUGAGCAAGAGAAAAAAAUGCAGAUUGUUUUACAAGGACAUGCUACAAGAGUAACUGCUAAAUCUCAACAGAGUGGAGAGAAGGCAUUUCGAUGUGAAUAUGAUGGAUGUGGAAAAUUAUAUACAACAGCUCAUCAUCUCAAGGUCCAUGAGAGGUCACACACAGGAGAUCGGCCUUAUCAGUGUGAGCAUGCAGGCUGUGGGAAGGCAUUUGCAACAGGUUAUGGAUUAAAAAGUCAUGUCAGAACUCAUACAGGAGAAAAGCCAUAUCGGUGUUCGGAAGAUAAUUGUACUAAAUCUUUCAAAACUUCAGGAGAUCUACAGAAACACAUCAGAACUCAUACAGGAGAAAGGCCCUUUAAGUGUCCCUUCGAAGGCUGUGGUCGGUCCUUUACAACAUCAAAUAUCAGAAAAGUGCACGUUAGGACACACACAGGAGAAAGACCUUAUUACUGCACAGAGCCAGGAUGUGGGAGGGCAUUUGCCAGUGCAACAAAUUAUAAAAACCACGUGAGGAUACACACAGGAGAAAAGCCAUAUGUUUGUACAGUUCCUGGGUGUGACAAAAGGUUUACAGAAUAUUCCAGUUUGUACAAACAUCAUGUUGUCCACACUCAUUCCAAACCUUACAACUGUAACCACUGUGGGAAGACAUACAAGCAGAUCUCCACGCUGGCCAUGCACAAACGGACAGCCCACAACGACACUGAGCCCAUCGAGGAGGAGCAGGAAGCCUUCUUUGAGCCGCCCCCAGGUCAAGGUGAAGAUGUUCUUAAAGGGUCCCAGAUUACGUAUGUUACAGGUGUAGAAGGGGACGACGUUGUUUCUACACAAGUAGCCACAGUAACCCAAUCUGGACUGAGUCAGCAAGUUACACUCAUAUCCCAAGAUGGGACUCAGCAUGUAAGUAUCCACCAAAAGCCAAACAAAUUAAAUCUUUCUGUGAACCUGGGCUUGAAAGGCAGGCUGGGUCCCCAUUGAGGAAAGCUUUGAAAUGUCAGGGCACAAAGUUUGGAAACCCUGAGGUUUUUCAGUAGUCUGCUUACAGAGACUAUGUGCAGAGAGAUUAGGAGAGAGAGAAGGUUUGUGACUGUAGAAUCCAAAUGGUAUUCUUGGUGUAGCUCAAAGGUGAGAUGAUAAAGGUCAGCCACAGAGAGGCUGAGGGCUUCAAAAGUACUGGAUCCAUGUGAAACACAGAUCAGAAAAGGGAUAGGGUUUGGUGGCUGAUUAGAUCCAGGAGGUGAGAUUGAGAAAACAGAGAUUUGGCUGAGGUGAUCAGCAUAUGAUGGCACCAUUAAGAGAUCAGGAAUCAUGAGAGUUCACUCAACUAGCCUCACAGAGUCGGUAGAAUAGGUAUCUUGAUUUCCCCCAGGAAAAGCACAGUGUAAUGGUUGUUCUCUGUUAGCCAAACUUGUUGUUAUUUUCUAGAUGUCACUAGCCUAAAAUAAUUCCACCUUGAUUCCAUUUUUAAGCUCUAGCAAAGGCUGUCUUAAUACCUGGUGGAAAUAUGCGCAAUGUGCUUCUUUACCCUUCUGUGUCUGCCUCUUUCAUGGAGAACGCUCUCCUUACCCAUCUCUCAGAGUUUAAUGAUUAAUCUGCCCUGUUUUGAUACUCAGGAUUAGAAAAUACAAAGCUCUUACACCUUCUCAUUUAUCUUCUUCCUCACUUUGACAUCACUAAUUUCACACUAUACUCUUUGUCCUCUGACUGGUAUGCAAGAUUAUUAACCAAGUUUUAAUUCUGCAUCAGCCUUAACACUUUUUCUUGAAUUAGAUCAUCACACACAGAGGUCCUCUGGAGGUUGUUUUAUAUAACCUCCCUGUUCCCUAUACAGGAAAAAUUCCCACUAUAGCAGGUCUGAAAUAGCCACUACUGAGAAACCCCCAGUGAUUAAGCAAUUUCUGUCUUAGGCAAUCUGGGUCCAGGCGCGGAGGCUUACGCCUAUAAUCACAGCACUUUGAGAGGCCAGAGCGGGCUGGUCUUGAACUCCUGGCCUCAGGUGAUCCUCCUGCGUCAGCCUCCCAGAGUGCUGGGAUUUCAGGCAUAAGCCGCCAUAAUUCUACUAUUUAUCAGGCCAGAACCCACCCUUGUAUCAUCCUCUCAUGGCUCCUCUCCGACCAUACAGAAUAAGUCUUAUCCUUCUUCAUAUAUUCCAAAACAACUAUCUUUCCCAUCCCAAUGUUGUGCUUUCUCUACACUUAACCUUCUCAUUUCCUUCAGGAGUUAGAUUUCCAUUCCAUUCUUUUCGUCAGUCAAAUGAUAGACAUUUAUAGAGCACCUACCCCAUGCCAGACAUUUUGGUCAGUGGACUUAGUGUUGGAAUCACAGGAAGGGCAGUAUCACAGUCUAGUAGGAGAGAGACCCUUUUAGAAUGAAUAAUUUUUCAUAAUGAGGUGUAUAUAAUUGAGAGAUACAGAAAGUGCUGUGGCACCCUGCAGGAGAGAGUAAAUUUUUCUUCCUAAAGUAAUCUUGCAGAUCCUAAUAAGAGAAUGGGUGUUCAGUUGGGUCUUGAAGGAUUUUCAUGAACUCACCAGAGAGUGAAGGGAAGAGCAAAGUAAUAAAAAUACAAGAGAAUAUGACACUUUCUGGGACUGCAAAUGACUAGUUGUGGCUGGAGUGUCAGUUGCUAGUUUAAAAGCAGUGGAAGAUGAGCCUGGGGAAGUUGGUAAAGGCCAGGUCAUGAAAGGUCAGGAAUGCUAUGUAAGAAGUCUGGGCUGGGCACGGUGGCCCAUGCCUGUAAUCCCAGCACUUUGAGAGGCCAAGGCAGGCGGAUCACCUGAGGUCAGGAGUUUGAGACCAGCCUGACCAACAUGGAGAAACCCCAUCUCUACUAAAAAUACAAAAUUAGCCGGGUGUGGUGGUGCAUGCCUGUAAUCCCAGCUGCUCGGGAGGCUGAGGCAGGAGAAUUGCUUGAAUCCAGGAAGCGGAGGUUGCGGUGAGCCGAGAUCAUGCCAUUGCACUCCAGCCUGGGCAACAAGAGUGAAACUCCUCAAAAAAAAAAAAAGUCUGAACUA